CACGAGCAAAAUAAAUAAUUCUAAUUCUCAAUCUCUAUUUCUCUCUCUCUCUCUUCCUAACACAUACACACCACAUAUUAGUUAUUUACACACAUGUGUUUUGUGUUUUUCCAAUUAGUAGCAAUCGGGUAAAUGCAUUGCCACCGCCCACUGUGCGGGCUCUCUGGUGUCAUAUGGGAUUAUUGUAGUUGUUUCUGCAACUGCUGCUGCUGUUGCUUUUCGGCCAAAACUCAAGAACCAAAAACGCAAGGAGAGAGAGGCAGACGACGGUCGGAGAGCGCGAAAGAAUAGCGAGAGUAAGAAAACAACGCCAGCUGCCGGCAACAAGAGCAUCAGCAGAAGAAAGAAAGAGGGACGGCAGCAGUGACAGCGGCGGACGGGCCAGGACAGGACAGAAGGAGAUGGGUGAAAACAUGGUGAAACAGCCGCACACCACACGUAGACCUAAAACAAUGUCAAAAAUGUCCAACAAAAACAACGGAAAUUAUUGAUAAGCUGCAAAGAAAGCAGCGCCAAGUGACAAGGAAAGUGAGACAAAGACAGAGACAGAGGUAAAGAGCACCAAAGCGAGACGCAAUCACACAUAAGCGGCGUGUGUGUGUUGGUGUGCGUGCAAACUUUGCAGUUUGCUCCAAGCCCUUUUGACCUAACAAAAUGAACGAAUUUUGCAAUAAAUUGGAAUUCGAAAAUGAAA